GUGUGUAAAAAAUAAACGACAGACGGUUAUAUUAUCAUUUCCCGACGUCCGUCGGGUAAGUAUUUACUCCGGGCCCACCGAACUCGACGGCGGCAUUAACGCCUGCGGCCGGGCGGACCGACUUACACCGGACGACGGACGGCAUCGCGAAACAUUUAACAGGGGAAAAAAAACAAAACAAAACGUAUUAUAAAAAACUCGGUACUUUCAACAAAACCGCAGUGUAAGAGGGAAUAAUAAUACUACGAGAACGGAAAACGACGAUCGUAUUAUCAUUUAUGUAUCGUACCCGCGGCGGCUACCAACAGGUAAGAAAGGUAUUAUUGUGUGCGCUGCGGCGUUGUCGAAAUAACAACGGAAAAAAAACAUCAGCACAAUGCACGUGUCACGCGCGUAAAUCCGUCUCGGAACAACGGGUUCGGAAUAGCCGACACAGUGUACCACC